rnacentral:rRNA from 1 species
UACGUAGGGGGCUAGCGUUGUCCGGAAUCAUUGGGCGUAAAGCGCGUGUAGGCGGUCCGGUAAGUCCGCUGUGAAAGUCGGGGGCUCAACCCUCGAAUGCCGGUGGAUACUGUCGGGCUAGAGUGCGGAAGAGGCGAGUGGAAUUCCUGGUGUAGCGGUGAAAUGCGCAGAUAUCAGGAGGAACACCGGUGGCGAAGGCGGAUCUCUGGGCCUUACCUGACGCUGAGGCGCGAAAGCUAGGGGAGCGAACAGG